GAUGAAGAACGCAGCAAAAUGCGAUACUUGGUAUGAAUUGCAGAAUCCCGUGAACCAUCGAGUCUUUGAACGCAAGUUGCGCCCGAAGCCACUAGGCCGAGGGCACGCCUGCCUGGGCGUCACACGCCGUUGCCCCCCCAUCUACUCCUUCGGGAUUGCGGGGGGGCGGAUGAUGGCCUCCUGUGCGCCUAGCCGCGCGGUUGGCAUAAAUACCAAGUCCUCGGCGACGCACGCCACGACAAUCGGUGGUUGCGAAACCUCGGUUGCCCGUCGUGUGCGUUCGUCGCGCAUCGAGGGCUCGAAAAAAUGCUCGGCUCCGGCUGGGCUUUCAACGCGACCCCAGGUCAGGCGGGGUUACCCGCUGAAUUUAAGCAUAUCAAUAAGCGGAGGA
rnacentral:misc_RNA from 1 species